rnacentral:rRNA from 1 species
UGGCCAGACUCCUACGGGAGGCAGCAGUGGGGGAUAUUGCACAAUGGGGGGAACCCUGAUGCAGCGACGCCGCGUGGGUGAAGAAGCGCCUCGGCGCGUAAAGCCCUGUCAGCAGGGAAGAAAAUGACGGUACCUGAAGAAGAAGCCCCGGCUAACUACGUGCCAGCAGCCGCGGUAAUACGUAGGGGGCAAGCGUUAUCCGGAUUUACUGGGUGUAAAGGGAGCGUAGACGGUAGAGCAAGUCUGAAGUGAAAGCCCGCGGCUCAACUGCGGGACUGCUUUGGAAACUGUUCAACUGGAGUGCUGGAGAGGUAAGCGGAAUUCCUAGUGUAGCGGUGAAAUGCGUAGAUAUUAGGAGGAACACCAGUGGCGAAGGCGGCUUACUGGACAGUAACUGACGUUGAGGCUCGAAAGCGUGGGGAGCAAACAGGAUUAGAUACCCCUGUA